rnacentral:lncRNA from 1 species
GGAAGGGAAAGGGAUGUUGAAACGUGAUGAAGAUGGGAGAGGGAUGCUUUGAUACCAAUUGACGCAAGCGGAGAUGGGAUGGUUGCUGAAAUCUAGUUGGAUGGGGGUUGAUCUCUCUUCUUUUUUCCUUCUUUUCUCUUCUAUCAAUAGUGGCUAGGGUUCAUGUGGAUGGAGAAAGGAGGAAGAAGAAAGAUGGUAGAUGCCUAAUUUGGGGUGCUAUUGGGUUCAAUGGAUGACUGUUGAAUUUGGAAUUGUGUUUGCUUGGACUAGGCUGAUAGAAUUGGGUUAAGACCCAAGGUUGGAUUGGGUUGGAUGUGGGGAGUUGACUAGCACGAAGGGAAGAGGAGUCUUAAAGGGUUUAGGACUCUUGGUGGCUUUGGCGUGAGCAAAAAAAGAGGUUAAGGGUGUGGGAAUGAAGGGAUAAGGAAUGAUAAGUAUGGAUGGAUGAGAGUCUCACUCUCAAUUCAGUCCUUGGCAUCGCACCGAGGGAAGAAGAAUUUCUCUUCUCAUGUUGAACACUCACAAAAUUCUCAAAACAAUCUAAUUUCUGAAUUUUAUUCUUCAAUUUUUUCUUUUUAUAGAGUAGAAUGUUGAAAAAAUGAGGACUCUUACAACCAGAAUUUUAGGACUCCAACUAAAUAUGGACUCUUAAAUCAAAUUAAUCAUUUGAUAAAAUUAACUGAUGAAAUUAAUUAAUAAAAUCAACUGACGAAAUUAAUUGACGAAAUCCACUAAACUAACUAAGACUUUCAAAUAACUAGGACUCUUUAAAGAUACAUGGACUAAGAGUCCAAAUUAGCU